AGAGAGCGGCGUACGGGUGCGGAACACGUGUGCAACCUGCCUUUAUCUGGGGGAUAGCCUUUCGAAAGGGAGAUUAAUACCCCAUAAUAUUUAGAAUGGCAUCAUUUUAAAUUGAAAACUCCGGUGGAUAGAGAUGGGCACGCGCAAGAUUAGAUAGUUGGUGAGGUAACGGCUCACCAAGUCAACGAUCUUUAGGGGGCCUGAGAGGGUGAUCCCCCACACUGGUACUGAGACACGGACCAGACUCCUACGGGAGGCAGCAGUGAGGAAUAUUGGACAAUGGGUGAGAGCCUGAUCCAGCCAUCCCGCGUGAAGGACGACGGCCCUAUGGGUUGUAAACUUCUUUUGUAUAGGGAUAAACCUACCCUCGUGAGGGUAGCUGAAGGUACUAUACGAAUAAGCACCGGCUAACUCCGUGCCAGCAGCCGCGGUAAUACGGAGGGUGCAAGCGUUAUCCGGAUUUAUUGGGUUUAAAGGGUCCGUAGGCGGAUCUGUAAGUCAGUGGUGAAAUCUCACAGCUUAACUGUGAAACUGCCAUUGAUACUGCAGGUCUUGAGUGUUGUUGAAGUAGCUGGAAUAAGUAGUGUAGCGGUGAAAUGCAUAGAUAUUACUUAGAACACCAAUUGCGAAGGCAGGUUACUAAGCAACAACUGACGCUGAUGGACGAAAGCGUGGGGAGCGAACAGGAUUAGAUACCCUGGUAGUCCACGCCGUAAACGAUGCUAACUCGUUUUUGGUUUUUCGGAAUCAGAGACUAAGCGAAAGUGAUAAGUUAGCCACCUGGGGAGUACGUUCGCAAGAAUGAAACUCAAAGGAAUUGACGGGGGCCCGCACAAGCGGUGGAUUAUGUGGUUUAAUUCGAUGAUACGCGAGGAACCUUACCAAGGCUUAAAUGGGAAAUGACAGGUUUAGAAAUAGACUUUUCUUCGGACAUUUUUCAAGGUGCUGCAUGGUUGUCGUCAGCUCGUGCCGUGAGGUGUUAGGUUAAGUCCUGCAACGAGCGCAACCCCUGUCACUAGUUGCCAUCAUUAAGUUGGGGACUCUAGUGAGACUGCCUACGCAAGUAGAGAGGAAGGUGGGGAUGACGUCAAAUCAUCACGGCCCUUACGCCUUGGGCCACACACGUAAUACAAUGGCCAGUACAGAGGGCAGCUACACGGUGACGUGAUGCAAAUCUCGAAAGCUGGUCUCAGUUCGGAUUGGAGUCUGCAACUCGACU
rnacentral:rRNA from 1 species